rnacentral:rRNA from 1 species
AUUGAACGCUGGCGGCAGGCCUAACACAUGCAAGUCGAGCGAGCGGCGGACGGGUGAGUAAUGUAUGGGGAUCUGCCCGAUAGAGGGGGAUAACUACUGGAACCGGUGGCUAAUACCGCAUACUAUCGUAUGAAGCCAUAUGGGAUUAGCUAGUAGGUGGGGUAAAGGCUCACCUAGGCGACGAUGUCUAGCUGGUCUGGGAGGGUGAUCGGCCACACUGGGACUGAGACACGGCCCAGACUCCUACGGGAGGCAGCAGUAGGGAAUAUUGCACAAUGGGCGCAAGCCUGACUCAGCCAUGCCGCGUGUAUGAAGAAGGCCUUAGGGUUGUAAAGUACUGUCAGCGGGGAAGCGGUACCCGCAGAAGAAGCACCGGCUAACUCCGUGCCAGCAGCCGCGGUAAUAC